rnacentral:rRNA from 1 species
UACGAAGGGGGCUAGCGUUGUUCGGAAUUACUGGGCGUAAAGCGCACGUAGGCGGACAUUUAAGUCAGGGGUGAAAUCCCAGAGCUCAACUCUGGAACUGCCUUUGAUACUGGGUGUCUUGAGUAUGGAAGAGGUGAGUGGAAUUCCGAGUGUAGAGGUGAAAUUCGUAGAUAUUCGGAGGAACACCAGUGGCGAAGGCGGCUCACUGAUCCAUUACUGACGCUGAGGUGCGAAAGCGUGGGGAGCAAACAGG